CCGCGUGUGUGAAGAAGGCCUUUUGGUUGUAAAGCACUUUAAGCGAGGAGGAGGCUCCUUUAGUUAAUACCUAAAGUGAGUGGACGUUACUCGCAGAAUAAGCACCGGCUAACUCUGUGCCAGCAGCCGCGGUAAUACAGAGGGUGCGAGCGUUAAUCGGAUUUACUGGGCGUAAAGCGUGCGUAGGCGGCUUUUUAAGUCGGAUGUGAAAUCCCUGAGCUUAACUUAGGAAUUGCAUUCGAUACUGGGAAGCUAGAGUAUGGGAGAGGAUGGUAGAAUUCCAGGUGUAGCGGUGAAAUGCGUAGAGAUCUGGAGGAAUACCGAUGGCGAAGGCAGCCAUCUGGCCUAAUACUGACGCUGAGGUACGAAAGCAUGGGGAGCAAACAGGAUUAGAUACCCUGGUAGUCCAUGCCGUAAACGAUGUCUACUAGCCGUUGGGGCCUUUGAGGCUUUAGUGGCGCAGCUAACGCGAUAAGUAGACCGCCUGGGGAGUACGGUCGCAAGACUAAAACUCAAAUGAAUUGACGGGGGCCCGCACAAGCGGUGGAGCAUGUGGUUUAAUUCGAUGCAACGCGAAGAACCUUACCUGGCCUUGACAUACUAAGAACUUUCCAGA
rnacentral:rRNA from 1 species